UAAGAAAAAGAAGAAGCAAAUUGCCUAAAAAGGUAAAAGCAAAUAUAGAAGCUGAGGUUGUAUGAGAGAGGGGGUGUAUUAUAUAGAAGCUGAGGUUGUAUGAGAGAGGGGGUGUAUUAUAUAGAAGCUGAGGUUGUAUGAGAGAGGGGGUGUAUUAUAUAGAAGCUGAGGUUGUAUGAGAGAGGGGGUGUAUUAUAUAGAAGCUGAGGUUGUAUGAGAGAGGGGGUGUAUUAUAUAGAAGCUGAGGUUGUAUGAGAGAGGGGGUGUAUGAUAUAGAAGCUGAGGUUGGAUGAGAGAGGGGGUGUAUGAUAUAGAAGCUGAGGUUGUAUGAGAGAGGGGGUGUAUUAUAUAGAAGCCGAGGUUGUAUGAGAGAGGGGUGUAUUAUAUAGAAGCCGAGGUUGUAUGAGAGAGGGGGUGUAUUAUAUAGAAGCCGAGGUUGUAUGAGAGAGGGGGUGUAUUAUAAAGAAGCCGAGGUUGUAUGAGAGAGGGGGUGUAUUAUAUAGAAGCUGAGGUUGUAUGAGAGAGGGGGUGUAUUAUAUAGAAGCCGAGGUUGUAUGAGAGAGGGGGUGUAUUAUAUAGAAGCCGAGGUUGUAUGAGAGAGGGGGUGUAUUAUAAAGAAGCCGAGGUUGUAUGAGAGAGGGGUGUAUUAUAUAGAAGCCGAGGUUGUAUGAGAGAGGGGGUGUAUUAUAUAGAAGCCGAGGUUGUAUGAGAGAGGGGGUGUAUUAUAUAGAAGCCGAGGUUGUAUGAGAGAGGGGGUGUAUUAUAUAGAAGCCGAGGUUGUAUGAUCGAGAGAGGGGGUGUAUUAUAUAGAAGCCGAGGUUGUAUGAGAGAGGUGGUGUAUUAUAUAGAAGCUGAGGUUGUAUGAGAGAGGUGGUGUAUUAUAUAGAAGCUGAGGUUGUAUGAGAGAGGGGGUGUAUUAUAUAGAAGCUGAGGUUGUAUGAGAGAGGGGGUGUAUUAUAUAGAAGCUGAGGUUGUAUGAGAGAGGGGGUGUAUUAUAUAGAAGCUGAGGUUGUAUGAGAGAGGGGGUGUAUUAUAUAGAAGCCGAGGUUGUAUGAGAGAGGGGGUGUAUUAUAUAGAAGCCGAGGUUGUAUGAGAGAGGGGGUGUAUGAUAUAGAAGCUGAGGUUGGAUGAGAGAGGGGGUGUAUUAUAUAGAAGCUGAGGUUGUAUGAGAGAGGGGGUGUAUUAUAUAGAAGCUGAGGUUGUAUGAGAGAGGUGGUGUAUUAUAUAGAAGCUGAUGUUGUAUGAGAGAGGUGGUGUAUUAUAUAGAAGCUGAGGUUGUAUGAGAGAGGGGGUGUAUUAUAUAGAAGCUGAGGUUGUAUGAGAGAGGGGGUGUAUUAUAUAGAAGCUGAGGUUGUAUGAGAGAGGGGGUGUAUUAUAUAGAAGCUGAGGUUGUAUGAGAGAGGGGGUGUAUUAUAUAGAAGCUGAGGUUGUAUGAGAGAGGGGGUGUAUUAUAUAGAAGCCGAGGUUGUAUGAGAGAGGGGGUGUAUUAUAUAGAAGCCGAGGUUGUAUGAUCGAGAGAGGGGGUGUAUUAUAUAGAAGCCGAGGUUGUAUGAGAGAGGUGGUGUAUUAUAUAGAAGCUGAGGUUGUAUGAGAGAGGGGGUGUAUUAUAUAGAAGCUGAGGUUGUAUGAGAGAGGGGGUGUAUUAUAUAGAA
rnacentral:lncRNA from 1 species